UGCCACUAGAGAUCUGAUUAGUGGUUCAUCCUGCCCAGUGAUUUUUAACGGCCGCGGUAUCCUGACCGUGCAAAGGUAGCAUAAUCAUUUGCCUAUUAAUUGUAGGCUAGUAUGAAAGGAUAAACGAGAAUUAAGCUGUCUCCUUUUAGCACUUAAAAAUUUAUAUUUGAGUGAAGAAGCUCAAAUAAAAUCGCAGGACAAGAAGACCCUAUAGAGCUUUACCUUAAACACUUCACAAAAAAUUUUACGGUUCGGUUGGGGCGACCGGGGGCGUAACCAAUCACCCCUAUUACAUAAGAUCUACAAAUCUCAUUAAUGAUCCUUAGACAAAGAUCAAUGAAUUUAGCUACCUUAGGGAUAACAGGCUAAUCCUCUUUGAGAGCCCUUAUUGACAAGAGGGAUUGGCACCUCGAUGUUGGCUUAAGAUUUCUUUAUGACGCAGCAGUCAUAACUAGAUGGUUUGUUCAACCAUUAAAUUCUU
rnacentral:rRNA from 1 species